rnacentral:rRNA from 1 species
CCAGACAGCCAGGAUGUUGGCUUAGAAGCAGCCAUCAUUUAAAGAAAGCGUAAUAGCUCACUGGUCGAGUCGGCCUGCGCGGAAGAUGUAACGGGGCUAAACCAUGCACCGAAGCUGCGGCAGCGACACUGGUGUUGUUGGGUAGGGGAGCGUUCUGUAAGCCUGUGAAGGUGUGCUGUGAGGCAUGCUGGAGGUAUCAGAAGUGCGAAUGCUGACAUAAGUAACGAUAAAGCGGGUGAAAAGCCCGCUCGCCGGAAGACCAAGGGUUCCUGUCCAACGUUAAUCGGGGCAGGGUGAGUCGACCCCUAAGGCGAGGCCGAAAGGCGUAGUCGAUGGGAAACGGGUUAAUAUUCCCGUACUUGGUGUUACUGCGAAGGGGGGACGGAGAAGGCUAUGUUGGCCGGGCGACGGUUGUCCCGGUUUAAGCGUGUAGGUGUGUGUUCCAGGUAAAUCCGGUUCACUUUAACACUGAGGCGUGAUGACGAGGCACUACGGUGCUGAAGCAACAAAUGCCCUGCUUCCAGGAAAAGCCUCUAAGCAUCAGGUAACAUCAAAUCGUACCCCAAACCGACACAGGUGGUCAGGUAGAGAAUACCAAGGCGCUUGAGAGAACUCGGGUGAAGGAACUAGGCAAAAUGGUGCCGUAACUUCGGGAGAAGGCACGCUGACACGUAGGUGAAGUGAUUUACUCAUGGAGCUGAAGUCAGUCGAAGAUACCAGCUGGCUGCAACUGUUUAUUAAAAACACAGCACUGUGCAAACACGAAAGUGGACGUAUACGGUGUGACGCCUGCCCGGU